AUGAACGCUGGCGGCGUGCCUAAUACAUGCAAGUCGAGCGAACAGACGAGGAGCUUGCUCCUUUGACGUUAGCGGCGGACGGGUGAGUAACACGUGGGUAACCUACCUAUAAGACUGGGAUAACUUCGGGAAACCGGAGCUAAUACCGGAUAAUACUUCGAACCGCAUGGUUCGAUAGUGAAAGAUGGCUUUGCUAUCACUUAUAGAUGGACCUGCGCCGUAUUAGCUAGUUGGUAAGGUAACGGCUUACCAAGGCAACGAUACGUAGCCGACCUGAGAGGGUGAUCGGCCACACUGGAACUGAGACACGGUCCAGACUCCUACGGGAGGCAGCAGUAGGGAAUCUUCCGCAAUGGGCGAAAGCCUGACGGAGCAACGCCGCGUGAGUGAUGAAGGUCUUCGGAUCGUAAAACUCUGUUAUUAGGGAAGAACAAACGUGUAAGUAACUGUGCACGUCUUGACGGUACCUAAUCAGAAAGCCACGGCUAACUACGUG
rnacentral:rRNA from 1 species